GAUGAACGCUAGCGGCAGGCCUAACACAUGCAAGUCGAGGGGUAGAGGAAGCUUGCUUCCUUGAGACCGGCGCACGGGUGCGUAACGCGUAUGCAAUCUACCUUUUACAGAGGGAUAGCCCAGAGAAAUUUGGAUUAAUACCUCAUAGUAUAUAUCAUUCGCAUGUUUGGUAUAUUAAAGUUCCAACGGUAAAAGAUGAGCAUGCGUCCCAUUAGUUAGUUGGUAAGGUAACGGCUUACCAAGACGAUGAUGGGUAGGGGUCCUGAGAGGGAGAUCCCCCACACUGGUACUGAGACACGGACCAGACUCCUACGGGAGGCAGCAGUGAGGAAUAUUGGUCAAUGGACGCAAGUCUGAACCAGCCAUGCCGCGUGCAGGAAGACGGUCCUAUGGAUUGUAAACUGCUUUUGUACGGGAAGAAACACUCCUACGUGUAGGAGCCUGACGGUACCGUAAGAAUAAGGAUCGGCUAACUCCGUGCCAGCCGCCGCAGUAACAC
rnacentral:rRNA from 1 species